GACGAACGCUGGCGGCGUGCUUAACACAUGCAAGUCGAACGCUGAAGCUCAGCUUUUGUUGGGUGGAUGAGUGCGAACGGGUGAGUAACACGUGAGUAACCUGCCUCCUUCUUUGGGAUAACGCCCGGAAACGGGUGCUAAUACUGGAUAUUCACUGGUCUUCGCAUGGGGGUUGGUGGAAAGGGUUUUUCUGGUGGGGGAUGGGCUCGCGGCCUAUCAGCUUGUUGGUGGGGUGAUGGCCUACCAAGGCUUUGACGGGUAGCCGGCCUGAGAGGGUGACCGGUCACAUUGGGACUGAGAUACGGCCCAGACUCCUACGGGAGGCAGCAGUGGGGAAUAUUGCACAAUGGGCGCAAGCCUGAUGCAGCGACGCCGCGUGAGGGAUGGAGGCCUUCGGGUUGUGAACCUCUUUCGCUCAUGGUCAAGCCGCAACAAUGGUUGUGGUGAGGGUAGUGGGUAAAGAAGCGCCGGCUAACUACGUG
rnacentral:rRNA from 1 species